UACGAAGGGGCGAGCGUUGUUCGGAUUUACUGGGCGUAAAGGGCGCGUAGGCGGCGUGUUAAGUCACUUGUGAAAUCUCUAAGCUUAACUUAGAACGGUCAAGUGAUACUGAUGUGCUAGAGUGCAGAAGGGGCAACCGGAAUUCUUGGUGUAGCGGUGAAAUGCGUAGAUAUCAAGAGGAACACCUGAGGUGAAGACGGGUUGCUGGGCUGACACUGACGCUGAGGCGCGAAAGCUAGGGUAGCAAACGGG
rnacentral:rRNA from 1 species